AUAGAUAUAGGAAGAUGUGGUGUGAGUGCCAAUGAGACAACUCUCCAUCCAAAUAACAAUUUAAAAAUUAAACCAUUAUAGGUUAAAGUACGGCCUUCAACACGGAGCCUUGGCUCACACCGAACAACAAGCUAUAAAGGGCCCCAAAAUUACUAGUGUAAAACCAUUCAAACGGGAAAACCAACGGUCUAAUCUAUAUAAACAAAACGAGAAACACGUAUAUAUUACAUAAACAAACGACAACUACUGUACAUCAGAUUCCUGACUUAGGACAGGUGCAAACAUUUGCAGCGAG
rnacentral:lncRNA from 1 species